AACCUGGUUGAUCCUGCCAGUAGUCAUAUGCUUGUCUCAAAGACUAAGCCAUGCACGUCUAAGUACAAACUAAAUGAUGGUGAAACUGCAAAUGGCUCAUUACAACGGUUAUGAUGUACCCGGGAGUUCCUAUGGAUAUUUCCAGUAACACUAGAACUAAUACAUGCUCCUGCGUUUAUUAGUUUCGCACAGUCCGUCGCUGAGUCAUGGUAAACAGUUGAUCGACUCGACGUCCCGGAACAGUUUCCGCCCCAUCAGCUUCGAUGGUUGGGUAUUGGCCUACCAUUGCAACAACGGGUAACGAGGAAUUAGGGUUUGAUAUCGGAGAGGGAGCCUGAGAAACGGCUACCACAUCUACGGAUGGCAGCAGGCGCGCAAAUUACCCAAUGCAGACACUGUGAGGUAGUGACGAGAAAUAAUAAAGCGGGACUUCUGUUUCGCUAUUAUAAUGAGGAAUAACCAAAGGUCAUUCCGAUUAGCAACUGAUGGGAAAGUCUGGUGCCAGCAGCCGCGGUAAUACCAGCGUCAGUAGCAUAUAUUAAAAUUGUUGCAGUUAAAACGUCCGUAGUCUGUACGUCGUCCCAAACUCACUGCAGUCUUCCGUUUUCUUCAUUGAAUGCGGUAGUUUCUGCAGUCACUCCCU
rnacentral:rRNA from 1 species